UACGAAGGGCGCAAGCGUUGUCCGGAAUUAUUGGGCGUAAAGAGCUCGUAGGUGGUUUGUCGCGUCUGCCGUGAAAACCCGAGGCUUAACCCCGGGCCUGCAGUGGGUACGGGCAGACUAGAGUGCGGUAGGGGAGACUGGAAUUCCUGGUGUAGCGGUGAAAUGCGCAGAUAUCAGGAAGAACACCCGUGGCUAAGGCGGCUCUCUAGUACGGUACUGACGCUGAGACGCGAAAGCGUGGGGAGCGAACAGG
rnacentral:rRNA from 1 species